rnacentral:miRNA from 1 species
GAGGUGGGAGGAUUGCUUGAGCCCAGGAGGUCAAGGCUGCAGUGAGUUGUGAUUGCACCACUGCAUUCCAGCCUGAGUGACAGAGCAAGACCUUGUCUC